AACAACAACACACGUUAGCAGCAAGCGGAAGAGUAAGGUAUCUGCAGUUCAAGCAGUGCAAAGGUGUUCCUUCUAGAUUUGGAUGGAACUUGGAAGUAUUUCAAGAGGUUGUAGCUCAGGUGCCCAUGGGCCAAAGGGCCUUCAUUGUUGCAAAAGAUGUGUCGCCGGCUGACGCUGCUGUGCAAGUGAACAAAUCUGCGCAAUACUGUUGCAUUGUGGAAAUCAUACAGGUACCAUGGGUGUUGAGCAGUUUUGGUGUUCCUCCCAUGUAUUAUAAAUUCCAGAUGUAAAGACACUUAAAUGAAAUAAAGCUUCUCUGACAAUUUUUAUU
rnacentral:lncRNA from 1 species